CCUACGGGAGGCAGCAGUGGGGAAUAUUGGGCAAUGGGCGCAAGCCUUACCCAGCAAUACCGCGUGCGUGAAGAAGGUCUUCGGAUUGUAAAGCUCUUUGAUCAGGGACGAACAGAUGACGGUACCUGAAGAACAAGCCCCGGCUAACUACGUGCCAGCAGCCGCGGUAAAACGUAGGGGGCGAGCGUUUUCCGGAAUGACUGGGCGUAAAGGGUGCGUAGGCGGCAUAAUAAGUUAGAAGUGAAAUACCCAGGGCUUAACUCGGGUGCUGCUUCUAAGACUGUUGAGCUUGAGUGCGGGGGAGGUUAAUGGAAUUCGUAGUGUAGCGGUGGAAUGCGUAGAUAUUAGGAGGAACACCAGAGGCGAAGGCGAUUAACUGGACCGUAACUGACGCUGAGGCACGAAAGUGUGGGUAGCAAACAGGAUUAGAUACCCUAGUAGUC
rnacentral:rRNA from 1 species